rnacentral:rRNA from 1 species
AUUGAACGCUGGCGGCAGGCCUAACACAUGCAAGUCGAACGGCAGCGGGGGGUAGCUUGCUAUCCUGCCGGCGAGUGGCGGACGGGUGAGUAAUGCAUGGGGAGCUGCCCAGUCGAGGGGGAUAACAACUGGAAACGGUUGCUAAUACCCCAUACGCCCUAAGGGGGAAAGGUGGGGAACUGCGGUCCUACCGCGAUUGGAUGCGCCCAUGUGGGAUUAGCUAGUUGGUGAGGUAACGGCUCACCAAGGCGACGAUCUCUAGCUGGUCUGAGAGGAUGACCAGCCACACUGGAACUGAGACACGGUCCAGACUCCUACGGGAGGCAGCAGUGGGGAAUAUUGCACAAUGGGGGAAACCCUGAUGCAGCCAUGCCGCGUGUGUGAAGAAGGCCUUCGGGUUGUAAAGCACUUUCAGUCAGGAGGAAGGGGUGAUGGCUAAUAUCCAUCAUCAUUGACGUUACUGACAGAAGAAGCACCGGCUAACUCCGUGCCAGCCGCCGCCGUAA